rnacentral:rRNA from 1 species
GAGUUUGAUCAUGGCUCAGGACGAACGCUGGCGGCACGCCUAACACAUGCAAGUCGAACGGAGAUAUUUUGGUUUACUGAGAUAUYUUAGUGGCGGACGGGUGAGUAACACGUGAGCAACCUGCCUYUGAGAGAGGGAUAGCUUCUGGAAACGGAUGGUAAUACCUCAUAACAUAACGAAGCCGCAUGACUUUGUUAUCAAAGAUUUAUCACUCAGAGAUGGGCUCGCGUYUGAUUAAAUAGUUGGUGAGGUAACGGCUCACCAAGUCGACGAUCAGUAGCCGGACUGAGAGGUUGAACGGCCACAUUGGGACUGAGACACGGCCCAGACUCCUACGGGAGGCAGCAGUGGGGAAUAUUGCACAAUGGGGGAAACCCUGAUGCAGCGAUGCCGCGUGGAGGAAGAAGGUUUUCGGAUUGUAAACUCCUGUCUUAAAGGACGAUAAUGACGGUACCUAGGAAAAG